rnacentral:rRNA from 1 species
AGUGAACGCUGGCGGCGUGCUUAACACAUGCAAGUCGAACGAGAACGGAACAUAGCUUGCUAUGUUUGUCAGCUAAGUGGCGAACGGGUGAGUAAUGUAUAGCUAAUGUGCCCCUUGGAGGGGGAUAACAGUUGGAAACGACUGCUAAUACCCCAUACUCCUUCUAUCUUAAUGAUAGUUGGGAAAUGUUUUUUCGCCAAGGGAUCGGGCUAUAUGGUAUCAGUUAGUUGGUGAGGUAAUGGCUCACCAAAACGAUGACGCCUAGCUGGUCUGAGAGGAUGAUCAGCCACACUGGAGCUGAGACACGGUCCACACUCCUACGGGAGGCAGCAGUGGGGAAUAUUGCACAAUGGGGGAAACCCUGAUGCAGCACCGCCGCGUGGAGGAUGACGCAUUUCGGUAUGUAAACUCCUUUUAUAUAGGAAGAUAAUGACGGUACUAUAUGAAUAAGCACCGGCUAACUCCGUGCCAGCAGCCGCGGUAAUACGGAGGGUGCAAGCGUUACUCGGAAUCACUGGGCGUAAAGCGCGCGCAGGCGGUUUGAUAAGUAGGAUGUGAAAUCCUAUGGCUUAACCAUAGAACUGCAUCCAAACUGUCAAACUAGAGUCUGGG